CAUCACCGUGGCCUGCCAUGUGGAGCUUGUUGCGGGGAGUGGAGCAGUGUUCGUUGUCGCAACUUGCCAGAGAGUGGUGGAGCCGCACAGAAUCCAUCGCAGGGAGUGGAGCAGAGUCGUGGCCAUUACUGUUGCCUACCAGGGGGUCCAGGCCUGUCAGCCGAAGCUCGGUUGAGGUGUCUGGCGGAGAGAGAUAGCUAUCCAUUUGAGAGGAGCUCGGAUGUCGCUGGCGAGCCUUCUACCGUUGGGUGCCUUGGGCGUUAAUACUGCAGACGAGGGCCAUUUGCUGUAAGAGCUCAGUCAGAGGCUUUUCGUAGAUGAAGUUUGGUUUCACAUAGAAUUCGACAGCGGGUCGACCAGUAGUGGAUGUCGGAUGGUGCUGGAGAGGUUCAUCCAUUGGGGGGGGUCCGGCUGCUGGAGUCCGUGUGUCGUAGGAGUUCAUCCAGAAUCUGUCUGCUACAGAAGUUCGAUCGGAGUUCGAUCUCCGUAGAAGCCCGGAUGG
rnacentral:lncRNA from 1 species